GCUAACUUCGUGCCAGCAGCCGCGGUAAUACGAAGGGUGCAAGCGUUAAUCGGAAUUACUGGGCGUAAAGGGUGCGUAGGCGGUUCGUUAAGUCUGUCGUGAAAUCCCCGGGCUCAACCUGGGAAUGGCGAUGGAUACUGGCGAGCUAGAGUGUGUCAGAGGAUGGUGGAAUUCCCGGUGUAGCGGUGAAAUGCGUAGAGAUCGGGAGGAACAUCAGUGGCGAAGGCGGCCAUCUGGGACAACACUGACGCUGAAGCACGAAAGCGUGGGGAGCAAACAGGAUUAGAUACCCUUGUAGUC
rnacentral:rRNA from 1 species